rnacentral:rRNA from 1 species
AUACGGAGGGUGCAAGCGUUAUCCGGAUUUAUUGGGUUUAAAGGGUCCGUAGGCUGAUCUGUAAGUCAGUGGUGAAAUCUCACAGCUUAACUGUGAAACUGCCAUUGAUACUGCAUGUCUUGAGUAAAUUUGAAGUGGCUGGAAUAAGUAGUGUAGCGGUGAAAUGCAUAGAUAUUACUUAGAACACCAAUUGCGAAGGCAGGUCACUAAGAUUUAACUGACGCUGAUGGACGAAAGCGUGGGGAGCGAACAGGAUUAGAUACCCUGGUAGUCCACGCCGUAAACGAUGCUAACUCGUUUUUGGGGUUUCGGCUUCAGAGACUAAGCGAAAGUGAUAAGUGAGCCACCUGGGGAGUACGUUCGCAAGAAUGAA